rnacentral:lncRNA from 1 species
CAUUAAAUUAUCCUUCCAGUUUGUUGUUUGCUUUUAAAUAUAAUUUAUGCAAUAAAUUCCUUCUUAAAUCUAAAUCUAUCUUGUCCCUUAUGGAGUCUACUUUAGCAUGUACACAUAAAAGAACUUAGUAUCUUUAAUAACUUUUAUCAGAGUCCUUUAUUGUUCCUCAAUCAAUUCCUCGCUAUUUCAUUAUAUAACUUUUUAAAAGUCAUGAGUUAAGUCAUUUUUUUUUAAGAUUUUAUUUUUUUCCUUUUUCUCCCCAAAGCCCCCCGGUACAUAGUUGUAUAUUCUUCGUUGUGGGUCCUUCCAGUUGUGGGAUGUGGGACGCUGCCUCAGCGUGGUCUGAUGAGCAGUGCCAUGUCCGUGCCCAGGAUUCCAACCAACGAAACACUGGGCCGCCUGCAGCGGAGCAUGCGAACUUAACCACUCCGCCACAGGGCCAGCCCUAAAUCAUUUUUGAAAAUCGUGAGUUACAUUUAGGUUUUACACACCUAUUCAGUUCAGUCUAACAGAUUUUUUCCGCAUUCUUCCUACUUUCAGUCUAGCACAGUGUUAGGAGCUAGAGAUAAGAGAAAACUAAUCCAUGAGAGAGGGCUAAUCCAGGAGAGAAGAUAAUCCAGGAGAAAGGGCGAUCCAGGAGAGAGGGCGAUCCAGGAGAGAGGGCGAUCCAGGAGAGAGGGCGAUCCAGGAGAGAAGGUGAUCCAGGAGAGAGGGCGAUCCAGGAGAGAGGGCGAUCCAGGAGAGAGGGUGAUCCAGGAGAGAAGGUGAUCCAGGAGAGAGGAUGAUCCAGGAGAGAGGGUGAUCCAGGAGAGAGGGCGAUCCAGGAGAGAGGGUGAUCCAGGAGAGAAGGUGAUCCAGGAGAGAAGAUGAUCCAGGAGAAAGAGGGAUCCAGUGUCCUGUUCUUGAGGUGGG